UACGGAGGGUGCGAGCGUUAAUCGGAAUUAUUGGGCGUAAAGGGUGCGUAGGUGGUUAAUUAAGUUAGCUGUGAAAUUCCCGGGCUUAACCUGGGGUGGUCAGCUAAGACUGAUUGACUUGAGUAUAGGAGAGGGUAGUGGAAUUUCCGGUGUAGCGGUGAAAUGCGUAGAGAUCGGAAGGAACACCAGUGGCGAAGGCGGCUACCUGGCCUGAUACUGACACUGAGGCACGAAAGCGUGGGGAGCAAACAGG
rnacentral:rRNA from 1 species